GAUGAAGAACGCAGCGAAAUGCGAUAAGUAAUGUGAAUUGCAGAAUUCAGUGAAUCAUCGAAUCUUUGAACGCACAUUGCGCCCGCCAGUAUUCUGGCGGGCAUGCCUGUUCGAGCGUCAUUACAACCCUCAGGCCCCCGGGCCUGGCGUUGGGGAUCGGCGGAAGCCCCCUGCGGGCACAACGCCGUCCCCCAAAUACAGUGGCGGUCCCGCCGCAGCUUCCAUUGCGUAGUAGCUAACACCUCGCACCUGGAGAGCGGCGCGGCCACGCCGUAAAACACCCAACUUCUGAAUGUUGACCUCGAAUCAGGUAGGAAUACCCGCUGAACUUAAGCAUAUCAAUAAGCGGAGGA
rnacentral:misc_RNA from 1 species